GGAUUAGAUACCCUGGUAGUCCACGCCCUAAACGAUGAUCACUAGAUGUUGGUUUUGCUUAGCAGAAUCAGUAUCGUAGCUAACGCGUUAAGUGAUCCGCCUGGGGAGUACGGUCGCAAGGCUAAAACUCAAAGAAAUUGACGGGGGUCCGCACAAGCGGUGGAACAUGUGGUUUAAUUCGACACUACGCGAGGAACCUUACCUAGGCUUGACAUACAAGUGACAGUUGUGGAAACACAAUCUUCCGAGUUUACUCGGACACUUGAACAGGUGCUGCAUGGCUGUCGUCAGCUCGUGCCG
rnacentral:rRNA from 1 species